GGGCUGUCUCCGCCGAGUCCGGCCCCGCCGCGAGGCGGCUGGAGCCGGGGACCCACGCGCACCACCGGGGUGAAUCGGGCCGCGCGGCGACCCAGCCGCCGCACGGCCCGUAGGGCAGCCUUCCGACGCCCGAACCCGACAGCUAACCCGGUAGGCGGUCCACGGAAGGAGUC
rnacentral:sRNA from 2 species